GACGAACGCUGACGGUGUGCUUUAGGCAUGCAAGUCGAACGAGAAAGCCCUUCGGGGUGAGUAGAGUGGCGAACGGGUGAGUAACACGUGGGCAACCUGCCCCUCGCAGGGGGACAACCGGAGGAAACUCCGGCUAAUACCCCGUACGCUUGUCGGGUCGCAUGGCCUGACAAGGAAAGGUAGCUUCGGCCAUCCGGCGAGGGAGGGGCCCGCGGUGCAUUAGCUAGUUGGUGGGGUAACGGCCUACCAAGGCGACGAUGCAUAGCUGGUCUGGGAGGAUGAUCAGCCACACUGGGACUGAGACACGGCCCAGACUCCUACGGGAGGCAGCAGCCAGGAAUCUUGCACAAUGGGCGAAAGCCUGAUGCAGCAAUACCGUGUGGGUGAGGAAGGCCUUCGGGUCGUAAAGCCCUGUUGUUGGGGACGAAGGGCGAAGGGUUAAUAGCCCCUAGCCUGACUGUACCCUUCGAGGAAGCCCCGGCUAACUACGUGCCAGCCGCCGCCGUAAAAC
rnacentral:rRNA from 1 species